CCUCAGGCUCCAACCUGCUUCCUGAGUAUGUCCCCACACCAAGCCCCCUUCCCUGUCCUGUCCUCUGUUCUGCGCUCUGUUCCCAUGCACCCGGUGGCAAGGCCCUCCAGGCGACGGACUGAACCUCCCAGACCUGACUAGAGCUUGACUCCAGCGGGCCGCUCCCCCGACCACAUACCGGCAGCAAGCGUUCUGCCCACCCCGACGCCGGGCCGCAGAGACUCAGAGAGCAAAGCCGGGCAGGGCACCGCCCCAGGUCCUCUCCCGGGGCCCGGCUCCGCACAGGAACCCGCAGCGCACAAGCACCUUCAUCUCGGCGUCCGGCGCUGCCCGGCUCGCGGCUGCGGCGUCGGGGGAGUACGCUCGGCGGAGCCAGGGACAGGAGCGCGGGAGGCGAGGAGGGAAGCGGCAGGAGAGCGAGGAGCGGAGCAGGAGGAGCCGCCG